GUUGUUGUUACCCUUGCCGGAGUGAAGAGAGCUGUAAGAAAAAAGGCCACAAGUAAAAGGAGAAGCUGUUUCGUGAACCCGACUUGGUGUCCGUGUUGUUCCUGUCUCCGUUGGAGUGGAGAUGACCUGCGACAAGUGGUGGCCCGUACGGGGAACUCAUCAUGUCGGUCGGCAACGAGUGAAGAGAGCUGUAAGGAAAAAGGCCACAAGUAAAAGGAGAAGCUGUUUCGUGAACCUGACUUGGUGUCCGUGUUGUUCCUGUCUCCGCCAGAGCGGAGAUGGCCUGCGACAAGAAAGCAUCAAAUUCUUACUGACCUUCGUUGCAGUGCAGAAGUAGAAGAUGAGGUGGAACAUGAGAUGGCUUUCUGAGGACACCUUUUCUUAGGUUAAAAGCAAGCCAGGACAUUUAAAAUUAAGGCUUUGAAUACUACAUUGGUGAGAAGAGAAGAGAAGAGAAGAGAAGAGAAGAGAAGAGAAGAGAAGAGAAGAGAAGAGAAGAGAAGAGACACUGCGCACAUUGUCUUAUUCCAGAGUGUGGAGGAGUGCUUUGUUUUCCCAUAGUCAGUAUCUUGUUGGCUGUAGGUUUCUCAUAGCUAGCCUUCACAACAUUGAUACAUGCCCCUUCUUUUCCUAUGGAUUGUGUCUUGAAAGAAUGUUGAGCUUUGUCAAUGACCUUUUCUUCAACCAUUGAGAUGAGCAUAUGAUUUCUGUCUUUAAGUUUAUGUAUGUGCAGUAUUACAUUCAUUGACUUGUGGAGCUGAACCACUUAUACUGCUAUAAUGAAACCAAUAUGGUUAUGGUUAUGAUCUUAUAAAUGCUCUUGAAUUUGGUUUGCAAGCA